UAUUAUAUAGUGUAGUUAAUAAAGAGAAAGCAAGUAAGAGAACCCCUUUCAAUGGAGUUUUCAUCAUAUAUGAGAUCAAUGGAGAUUUCUUACAACAUAAUUAUAGCAACAAUUAGUGUUGCAAUUUUGUUGUUCUAUACAUGGAAAGUGUUGAAUUGGGCAUGGUUUGGGCCAAAAAAAUUGGAAAAUUGCUUAAGGCAAAGAGGUCUAAAAGGAAAUCCAUAUAAGCUACUCUAUGGAGAUUUGAAUGAGUUAACAAAAAGUAUAGUAGAAGCAAAGUCUAAGCCUAUCAAUUUCUCUGAUGAUAUAGCUCAAAGACUCAUCCCUUUUUUCCUCAACUCCAUCAACAAAAAUGGUAAAAGUUCUUUCAUCUGGCUAGGCCCCUACCCAAUCGUGUUGAUCACGAAUCCUGAACAUGUAAAGGAGAUUUUCACAAAGAAUUAUGUGUAUCUAAAGCAAACUCAUCCCAAUCCAUUCACCAAGUUAUUGGCUAAAGGUCUUGUAAGCGUUGAGGAGGACAAAUGGACCAAACACAGAAAAAUCAUCAAUCCUGCCUUCCAUGUCGAGAAGUUAAAGCAUAUGCUGCCAGCAUUUUAUGUGUGUUGUAGUGAAAUGAUAAGCAAAUGGGAGGAGAUUGUUCCAAAGGAAACAUCAACCGAGAUCGAUGUAUGGCCAGACCUUGAAAUGAUGACCAGCGAAGUCAUUUCUCGCACAGCAUUUGGGAGUAGCUAUGAAGAAGGAAGAAUAGUAUUUGAACUUCAGAAGGAACAAGCUGAGCAUGUAAUGGAAGUAGCACGUUCAAUUUAUAUACCUGGAUCUAGGUUCUUGCCGACAAAAAGAAACAAAAGAAUGCUGGAAAUUGAAAAGGAUAUUCAAACAACAAUUAGGCGUAUCAUUGACAAAAGAUUGAGGGCAAUGGAAGGAGGGGAGACUAGUAAAGAUGACUUAUUAGGCAUAUUACUUGAAUCCAAUAUGAAAGAAAUUGAACAACACGGAAGCAAAGAUUUCGGUAUGACAACAAUUGAAGUGAUUGAAGAGUGCAAGUUAUUCUAUUUUGCUGGACAAGAGACCACUUCAGUGUUGCUCGUCUGGACAAUGAUUUUGUUGUGCCUACAUCCAGAGUGGCAAGUACGUGCCAGGGAGGAGGUGUUGCAGGUAUUUGGAAAUGAUAAACCAGAUUUGGAAGGACUAGGUCGCUUGAAAAUAGUGACCAUGAUCUUGUACGAGACGCUAAGGCUAUUCCCUCCAUUACCAACAUUUGGUAGAACGAAUAAAGAAGAAGUGAAACUGGGGGAGCUAAAUCUACCAGCUGGAGUGAUACUCAUAGUACCCGCAAUCUUAGUACAUUAUGAUAAGGAAAUAUGGGGUGAAGACGCAAAGGAAUUCAAACCAAAAAGAUUUAGUGAAGGAGUGUCAAAAGCAACCAAAGGACAAUUCUCGUUUAUCCCAUUUGGAGGGGGGCCUCGAAUUUGCAUUGGACAAAACUUUGCGAUGAUGGAAGCAAAAAUGGCAAUAGCAAUGAUACUACAAAGGUUCUCCUUUGAACUCUCUUCCAUCAUAUACACAUGCUCCAUUUGCAGUAGUGACUAUUCAUCCUCAGUAUGGUGCUCCUCUGCUUAGGCGCAAACUCUAAUAUGAUAUUUUACACCAUUGGUGUUGUAUGAUCCAUACUAAUUUGUCACAUGAUGACUGAAGUCAUGCUUCGAAUUUAAACGUUAACGUUAAAUUGCAGCUUGGUUAACAUUAUCAAAAUUUAUUUGGUCAACUAAUCAUAGGUCUCCUCUGAUGAACUUCAUUUGGCCUCUUGGUGGAGCAGAAGUUUCUUCUUAAAGUUGUGUAGAACAUAUAUAUAUAUUUCUAUUGCACCUCUAUGUUCAUUUUGGUU